rnacentral:rRNA from 1 species
UACAGAGGGUGCGAGCGUUGUCCGGAAUCACUGGGCGUAAAGGGCGCGUAGGCGGCCUGAUAAGUAGGGGGUGAAAUCCUGUGGCUUAACUGCAGGGCUGCCUCCUAGACUGUUAGGCUCGAGCACGGUAGAGGCAGAUGGAAUUCCCGGUGUAGCGGUGGAAUGCGUAGAGAUCGGGAAGAACAUCGGUGGCGAAGGCGGUCUGCUGGGCCGUUGCUGGACGCUGAGGCGCGACAGCGUGGGGGAGCAAACAGG